rnacentral:rRNA from 1 species
CUACGGGGGACUCCAGUGGGGAAUAUUGCACAAUGGGCGCAAGCCUGAUGCAGCCAUGCCGCGUGUAUGAAGAAGGCCUUCGGGUUGUAAAGUACUUUCAGCGGGGAGGAAGGGAGUAAAGUUAAUACCUUUGCUUAUUGACGUUACCCGCAGAAGAAGCACCGGCUAACUCCAUGCCAGCAGCCGCGGUAAUACGGAGGGUGCAAGCGUUAAUCGGAAUUACUGGGCGUAAAGCGCACGCAGGCGGGUUGUUAAGUCAGAUGUGAAAUCCCCGGGCUCAACCUGGGAACUGCAUCUGAUACUGGCAAGCUUGAGUCUCGUAGAGGGGGGUAGAAUUCCAGGUGUAGCGGUGAAAUGCGUAGAGAUCUGGAGGAAUACCGGUGGCGAAGGCGGCCCCCUGGACGAAGACUGACGCUCAGGUGCGAAAGCGUGGGGAGCAAACAGGAUUAGAUACCCCAGUAGUC